rnacentral:rRNA from 1 species
UACGGAGGGGGCUAGCGUUGUUCGGAAUUACUGGGCGUAAAGCGCACGUAGGCGGCUUUGUAAGUUAGAGGUGAAAGCCCGGAGCUCAACUCCGGAACUGCCUUUAAGACUGCAUCGCUAGAAUUGUGGAGAGGUGAGUGGAAUUCCGAGUGUAGAGGUGAAAUUCGUAGAUAUUCGGAAGAACACCCGUGGCUAAGGCGGUUCUCUAGUACGGUACUGACGCUGAGACGGCGAAAGCGUGGGGAGCGAACAGG